rnacentral:lncRNA from 1 species
GCUAGAGCUGGCAGCAGACAGCUAACUUGGUGGGCUCAUCAUGGCAGCCCUUGGAGGGUUGCUUUUGCCCUACUCCCCAGGGCAUGGCUGUGGGGGAAGUCUAUGCUGCCGUCCUCUUUCUGACUUGGGUACAGGGGCUCCUGUGGUGGGCUGUAGAUCCCUGUUAUCUGCUCAUCUGAAAGAAGGAGGGUCUCUGACCUACCAAUCGGAAGCCCUGUGCCCCACGUGGGCUCUGACCCAACCUGUCAUCCUUCCUUGGCUGCCUGCAGAGAAAAGAAAACAAUAGUCUUUUCCCCCUGGCUGGAGUCUAGGGAAGUCCACUGUUGAGUGGCUCUGAGACUAUUCUGGCCACAAUCAGGGGCAGGGACAGGAAGCUGGAAACAGAAUCCCAUUCAGGGAACCAUAUUUUGCAUGUGGGAGGCAAGGCAAACCUGCCUGUCUUGGGAUUGCCAGGCCCACCCUCCAGCAGUUCCUGGUGGACCUUCCAUCUCCCCACCCCCCACCCACGCUCACAGCCCUGAUGCUUUUGGGGCUGGAGAUUCAGGAGAGCAUUUGGAGAGGAAGCACACGGGCCAUGGUAGGGGGCUGUUGGGCUCGGCUCAGGCAGGUGACCUCCCCUACUGGAGCCUCAGCUUGCUCGCUCUAUAAAUGGGAAUGAGCAGCGCCACUCUGCAGGACGUUGGAGGGAUUCGUACACUAUGGGUAAGGGUCUGAAACACUGAGCAGGGCCUCAGUUAUUAUUAGGUGAUGGGAUUUACACGCAGGACCCUCAACUGAUGUGGCUUCAGUGUUUCUCUCUCCACCCAGUGCCUCCCAGGGCACUGACAGGGUUCAGAUGUGGUUGCAUCAGAGGCACAUGCAGCUGGGACAGUAGCUGUCUCUGGGAGCAGGACCAGGGCUCCUGGGAAAGUCCAUGGACCUGGUGUUAUCCCCUCGUGUUGGGGAGCAGAGAGUGCUUCCCAGCACAAGGAAGUAGAGGAGCAGGCAUGAGACUCAGGCAACCUGAUAGAGGAAAACUUCAAGGAGAGGAAUGUCUGUUCACUAAGAUUUCAAAUACAGUUUGCCCUUUUCCCUUUAGGACACCUUAUUUAAUGCCGUCAGCUUCUAAAUAUCCUUAGAGAACUUUCAUGACAUCGUAGUUUCACACUAGAGUUGCUUAUAAAAGCCAAACUUCCUUUCUUUUCUUUCUUUUUUUUUUUUUUUGUAAGACGGACUCUCGCUCUGUUACCCAGGCUGGAGUGUAGUGGUGUGAUCUUGGUUCACUGCAACCUCCGCUUCCCGGGUUCAAGCGAUUCUCCUGCCUCAGCCUCCCAAGUAGCUGGGAUUACAAGUGCGCACCAUCACGCCUGGCUAAUUUAUUGUAUUUUUAGUAGAGAUGGGGUCUCAUCAUGUUGGCCAGGCUGGUCUCGGACACCUGACCUCAAGUGAUCCACCUGCUUUGGCCUCCCAGAGUGUUGGGAUUACAGGCGUGAGCCAUGGAGCCCGGCCCAAACUUCCAUUUUUAAGCAGUUCACGAAUCCCGCCUACUUCCUGCAGAUCACCCGGUCCUUCGUUCUCAUAACCCCAAGAAGCAGGGAGGGGCACAUGCACCUGAGGGCCUUGCUUCUGCUGGCUCUGGGUCUUACGAAGGAAGAGUGGAUCUUCCUAAGCAUUCAGGUAGCAACAUUACCCCAGCUGGAGGAGAACAAUCCCAUUUGAAGGAAGGGAGGUGAUGGAGUCCUGGGCGUGGGAAUGACAGGGACAAUGGAAAGCCCUGAAAGCUCCUGUGAGGCAGCAGAGCCAGGAAUGCUAAGCGAGGCUCGUUUCCUGAGCAGGAAGGAACUGAAUCAUGAUUCCGAGGUGAUGUGGUUUCCAUCAAGCCCUGUAGCCUGCCUAGGUGUAUGGUUUUAUCUGAUGGGAGUGUGACUCAGCCGAGCUCUGAGGGUGUGUGCCCCAGGCCCACUGCCAGCUUCCUGGGAAGGGGUGCCAGCCCAACUCUGUACAGAGAGGAGAAAACACAGCUGCCGUUUCUAGAGCUACGAGAAGGGAGGCGAGGUCAAAGGACUCUGCUCAACUCCAGCUGCUUGGUUUUGCUUCAGCUGUCUCAGUCUUUCUAGUAAACUUGACCUGUUGCCAUUGGGUUUCUUUUUCUUUCAUUCAGUACACAUUUGUUUAGCAUCCACUAUGUAUUAGGCACUGUGCUGGACUUUAAGGACACGGAAGUGAGAAUACAGGGCACCUGUCCUCAGGGAGAUGACAUUACAACAGGGCAAAUGGCCAGCAGGGGAAAAGUCAUUGUGGGUGGUGACCAGAGCUCUGAAGGGCAUCAUGUCAGAGGCCAAGCAAUGGUGAGACUGCAAGACGGUCUGCCUUAGCCGGCAUGCUCAGCAUGGUCUCCUUGGGGACCCUUGUCUGAGUGAAGAGAGGCAGCCACACCAUGAUCCAGGGGAGAAGCAUACUGGCAGAGAAAGAAUGGCUCACACCAGGGCCUGGAAGUUGCAGAGAACCUAGGUAUUUGAGGCCCACAGUGAACAAACGAGGGUAGGAUGGGAGACGGGUCUGGAGAACUGGAUGGGACCUUGAUCCCAACUUUGUCAGCCUGUGUGAGGAGCUUAGGGUUUUGUUUUGUUUUGAGAUGGAAUCUCACUCUGUCACCCAGGCUGGAGUGCAGUGGCAUGAUCUCGGCUCACUGCAACCUCCACCUCCUGGGCUCAAGUGAUUCUCCUGCCUAGCCUCCCGAGUAGCUGGGAU